rnacentral:lncRNA from 1 species
UUGUAUUCCCAUGAAAAUAUGAUUCCCACAUUUCAUGGAAAAGUCUUUUCCAUGAGAAACAUGGAAAAAUUACUUUCUCAUGAGGUGGGAAUCACUCCAUCUUUAUUUUUUUCCAGAAAGGCGCUUCAGCAUUAAAGAGGCAUUAAAGACCUAAUUUUUAUUAAGGGUAUAAUAGAAAUUACAUAUAAUUUUUUCAGAAAAGUGGAUGGUCAACCAAACAUAAGCACUCUCAAAAUCUGUCACUUUUUCUUGUUUAACCAAACAUGCCAAAAGUACAUUUCCAGGCAUUUUGUUCUUAGGAAUCUUCUUCCUAGGAAUCAUAUUCUUAGGAGGAAAAAUGCUUCCCGCGAACCAAACGAGCCCGAAGUGGUAAGGACUAGGAGAGAGAAAAGUGAGCCGAUAAGAAAACUAAUUAUAUAGAGGAGUUAGGGGCGUGGGUGACAUAGGCUUUCAAGAGCAAACAUGGGGG